rnacentral:tRNA from 1 species
GCGCGCGUAGCUCAGCUGGUUAGAGCGCGAAUUUGACGUAUUCGAGGUCCCCCGUUCGAGUCGGGGCGCGCGCA